GACGAACGCUGGCGGCGUGCCUAACACAUGCAAGUCGAACGAGGUCCAUCCUUCGGGAGAAGACCUAGUGGCGAACGGGUGAGUAACACGUGAGGAACCUGCCCCGAAGACCGGGAUAACCCUCCGAAAGGAGAGCUAAUACCGGAUGCCCCCACCGAGCCGCAUGGCUUGGUGAGGAAAUGGAUUCCGCUUCGGGAGGGCCUCGCGGCCUAUCAGCUAGUUGGUGGGGUAACGGCCCACCAAGGCAUCGAUGGGUAGCUGGUCUGAGAGGACGAUCAGCCACACUGGGACUGAGACACGGCCCAGACUCCUACGGGAGGCAGCAGUGGGGAAUCUUGCGCAAUGGGCGAAAGCCUGACGCAGCAACGCCGCGUGGGGGAUGAAGGCUCUCGGGUUGUAAACCCCUUUCAGCAGGGACGAAUCAAGACGGUACCUGCAGAAGAAGCCCCGGCUAACUACGUGCCAGCAGCCGCCGUAAGAC
rnacentral:rRNA from 1 species